AUGGAGCUCCGCCUCCGCGCCCCGGUGUCCCGCGCUUCCGCUUCUCCGCGCGGCACGGCGGUCUCCCCCAGCCCCAGGCCGCAUCCGCGCCUGCCCUCACAACCCAUUCAGAAGCGAUUCGCCGGCAGCGCCGUCUCCGUCUCCAGGCGAGGCACUGCGGCAAGGAGCAGCCCGUGUUCCGCCCUGAUGACGGCGUCAUACAACACAGGAACUCCGGACCUGGUCGACUUCGACUGGGAGACUCUUGGAUUUCAAUUGGUCCCGACAGACUUUAUGUAUAUAAUGAAAUGUUCGUCAGAUGGGGUGUUCACCAAGGGUGAAUUGGUUCCGUAUGGGCCAAUUGAGAUGAACCCCGCUGCUGCAGUUUUAAAUUAUGGCCAGGGAUUGCUCGAAGGUCUUAGAGCACACAGAAAGGAGGAUGGUUCAGUAAUUGUUUUUCGCCCUGAGGAAAACGCGUUGCGGAUGAGGAUAGGUGCAGAUCGGCUAUGCAUGCCUGCACCAAGCGUUGAGCAGUUCCUAUCAGGUGUCAAGCAAACUAUAUUGGCAAACAAGCGUUGGGUACCCCCCACUGGCAAAGGUUCUUUAUAUAUCAGGCCGCUGCUGAUUGGAAGUGGAGCUAUGCUAGGUGUAGCACCUGCUCCGGAGUAUACAUUUGUCGUGUAUGUUUGCCCAGUUGGUCACUAUUUCAAGGAUGGCCUGUCUCCUAUUAGCUUAUUGACUGAGGAAGAAUAUCACCGCGCUGCACCUGGUGGAACUGGUGAUAUUAAGACAAUUGGAAAUUAUGCUUCGGUUGUUAGUGCUCAGAGAAGAGCCAAGGCGAAAGGUCAUUCUGAUGUUCUUUACUUGGAUCCCGUGCAUAAGAAGUUUGUGGAGGAAGUUUCUUCCUGUAAUAUAUUCAUGGUGAAGGAUAAUGUUAUUUCUACUCCACUAUUAACGGGAACAAUUCUUCCUGGAAUCACAAGAAGAAGUAUAAUUGAAAUUGCCCGAAAUCUUGGAAUCCAGGUCGAAGAGCGCCUUAUUGCGAUAGAUGAGUUGCUUGACGCGGAUGAAGUCUUCUGUACAGGGACUGCCGUUGUACUAUCACCUGUUGGUUCCAUAGUGUACCACGGAAGAAGAGUGGAGUAUGGGGGCGGGAAGGUCGGAGCGGUGUCUCAGCAACUGUAUUCGGCACUCACAGCUAUCCAGAAAGGCCUUGCAGAGGACAGUAUGGGAUGGGGUGUGCAAUUGAAUUAG
rnacentral:rRNA from 1 species